CCUGCGGAAGGAUCAUUAUUGAAUUGUCUACUUGAAUGGGUUGUCGCUGGCUCUUUGGAGCAUGUGCACGCCUGUCUUGACUUCAUUCAUCCACCUGUGCACCAUUUGUAGUCUUUGUGGGGUUGAGAAGUGGCUGACUUGUCAGGAAAACAGUGUUGACUCUUUUCCUGGAUGUGAGGACUGCAAUGCGAAAGCAUGGCUUUCUUCUUCUAUUGGUCAUGACCCUUCCCUCAAAGUCUAUGUUCUAAUCAUAUACCAUAUAGUAUGUUGUAGAAUGUCUCAUGUGGGCCUUUGUUUGCCUAUAACAAUCAUAUACAACUUUCAGCAACGGAUCUCUUGGCUCUCGCAUCGAUGAAGAACGCAGCGAAAUGCGAUAAGUAAUGUGAAUUGCAGAAUUCAGUGAAUCAUCGAAUCUUUGAACGCACCUUGCGCUCCUUGGUAUUCCGAGGAGCAUGCCUGUUUGAGUGUCAUUAAUUUCUCAACUCCUCCAACUUUUACAGUUGGCUUUGGAGCUUGGAUAUGGAGGUUUUGCUGGCUCUACUCCUUUGUGGGUCGUCAGCUCCUCUCAAAUAUAUUAGCGGAACUGUUUGCGAUCCGUCACAGGUGUGAUAAAUUAUCUACGCCAGUGGGUUGCUCUCUGUAUGUUCAGCUGCCAACUGUCUCUCUAGUGGACAACCUUUCUUGAAUACUUGACCUCAAAUCAGGUAGGACUACCCG
rnacentral:rRNA from 1 species